UUCAUGUCCAUCCGAAAUAUAUUGAAAAAGUUUAUAUCAGAUGGCCGAUUUUUGGGAAGAGCUGACCCGGCGUGAAUUGUGAGACCUCUUCCCUGUAUACCUCUAACACUCAUCCUAACCCUUUUGGCCCAACUACUAAUUGUUUAAAUAAUGUGUCUAUAUAUUUGGAAUUCAACCGACUAUCUACAGUACUAAGUUGUCCCAUUCCUGUGAGAAUUACCAACAGAAAUGUUACCAAACUCCAACAUAGUACUAAGCAAGCGAACACUGUAAAUCUCACGAAUGUCAAACUGUUGCCUUUAAUAGGUGCUUGCACAACGAAAUAUUACUUAGGUCCUAGCGUAUUGCUUGCGAAUGCCAUGCCUCUUUUACCUAAAAUUGACGAAGUUCGUUGUGUUAUCCAAAAAGAGAAUCCUGAUCUGGCCUGCUUCACCGAAACAUGGCUACACGAUUCAAUUAUUAACGAUCAUCUCCUUGUCGCUGGAUAUAAUUUUACCUUUAAAAACCGUGUCUCCCAAUCACACGGGGGCGUGUGUCUAUGGAAAACUAUCGUCAUUACCGAAACCUUGUCAAUCGAAAAAGGAAAAUCCUCCAAAGCAGGUAC